rnacentral:rRNA from 1 species
UGGGGAAUUUUGGACAAUGGGCGAAAGCCUGAUCCAGCAAUGCCGCGUGUGUGAAGAAGGCCUUCGGGUUGUAAAGCACUUUUGUCCGGAAAGAAAUCCUUGGCUCUAAUACAGUCGGGGGAUGACGGUACCGGAAGAAUAAGCACCGGCUAACUACGUGCCAGCAGCCGCGGUAAUACGUAGGGUGCAAGCGUUAAUCGGAAUUACUAGGCGUAAAGCGUGCGCAGGCGGUUUGCUAAGACCGAUGUGAAAUCCCCGGGCUCAACCUGGGAACUGCAUUGGUGACUGGCAGGCUAGAGUAUGGCAGAGGGGGGUAGAAUUCCACGUGUAGCAGUGAAAUGCGUAGAGAUGUGGAGGAAUACCGAUGGCGAAGGCAGCCCCCUGGGCCAAUACUGACGCUCAUGCACGAAAGCGUGGGGAGCAAACAGGAUUAGAUACCCUGGUAGUCCACGCCCUAAACGAUGUCAACUAGUUGUUGGGGAUUCAUUUCCUUAGUAACGUAGCUAACGCGUGAAGUUGACCGCCUGGGGAGUACGGUCGCAAGAUUAAAACUUAAAGGAAUUGACGGGGUCAUAGCUGUUUCCU